rnacentral:tRNA from 1 species
GGCCCAAGGUAUGCCGAGGUGCAAAUUCGGUAGUAAACUUUAAUAUGUUUGUGGUCUA